CCUACGGGAGGCAGCAGUGGGGAAUAUUGGGCAAUGGGCGCAAGCCUGACCCAGCAACGCCGCGUGAAGGAAGAAGGCUUUCGGGUUGUAAACUUCUUUUAUCAGGGACGAAGCAAGUGACGGUACCUGAUGAAUAAGCCACGGCUAACUACGUGCCAGCAGCCGCGGUAAUACGUAGGUGGCAAUGGUUAUCCGGAUUUACUGGGUGUACAGGGUGCGUAGGCGGGAUGCAAAGGCAGCGGUAAAAAUGCGGUGCUCAACGCCGUCGAGCCGUUGAAACUGGCGUUCUUGAGUGGGCGAGAAGUAUGCGGAAUGCGUGGUGUAGCGGUGAAAUGCAUAGAUAUCACGCAGAACUCCGAUUGCGAAGGCAGCAUACCGGCGCCCUACUGACGCUGAGGCACGAAAGCGUGGGUAUCGAACAGGAUUAGAUACCCCUGUAGUC
rnacentral:rRNA from 1 species